AGGUGGAGCCCAGCCAAGGGGCUUCUGGCCAGGGAGAAGGGAGGUGCUCCCUGGAGGCCACUGGCUGUGAUGGUGGGAGCUGGCCAGGCAGGUAGCAGCCUCCCAGGCACAGACUCACACUGACAGCUGUCACUUGGUGAAGGGCAGCUCCUGUGGAGCUCUCCGUGGUCCUGAGCUUGCCUGAGCUGGCCAGAGUCCUAGCUCAGUCCCCAGGGUGCCCUUGGCUGGCCUCACCCUGGCCCCUGCCACCCUCCUCCAUGGUUCAGAUGGCUCAUGUCUUAACAGCCACUUCCCCGUCCACCACCCUCUGGCCCCUUCUCCGCCUGCACCUCAACACCUGAUGUCUGGUGUCUUCAGCUGGGGGACAGCCACUGGGCACUCAACUCCUCCAACUGGGAGAAGGGGCCAGCUGUCACGUGUCCAGCAGUAGGCAGACCCAACACCCAAUGGGCACUCAGGGCAUCCCUGGAAUGUCCAUGAGGGGCAUUUUGGAGGAUGCCAGAAACAACCUCAGUCUCCACUUCUGGGCAGGAAGUAGCCCAUCCACUGCCCCCAGCCCUGGUACACCUCGGGGUGGACCCGCACUACCUCUCCAGGAGUUAGUUCAUCUGCAUGAAAGGGCUUCGCGCUGAAGCCCGUCUCCCUGUGCUCACCUUCCACCCGGCCUGGUCCUGCCCCAUGUGACCUGAGGGCUCUACCACCUCCAAAAGGAAGGCAGGAGGCACAUCUUUGCAGCAAUCCCUGCCAUGUACAGCAGCUCCCGGGACACAAGAUGACCCCCUGAAUAUGCCAGGCCUUGCUACUGACCAGCUUUAUUACCUUUAAGAAAGGUAACAAAGACACCUUUGUUAAGGUACAAAGGGAGGUGGGCCAAUUGGGAGGCUGCUUAACCCUGACUGGCACCCUCAGCCUGCAGGGCCUUUCUCAGUAACUCACCAGGCAUUCAGGACCUAAGGCCAGAAUCUGGGGAAUCCGGCCCAACUGAGGCCUGCAGACUCCUCUCCUGGGUCCAGAGGGCCUGCGAGUAAGAAUUUGGUCCAAGGCUUCACCCCAGGCCAGUGCCUCUGCAUGUCCACUCCCACGGGCCGCCCAUUCCAAUCCCUUUGGGCUGCUAGAAGUUCUUCCUUCUGUUGACCUUCAUCAGUUUCCCUGGAGCUUCUGCUACUGGUUCCUUCCCUGGGGUAUGGCAGAGGGAGUCGGCAUCUCAGGGGUCAGAAGACAGUGAGCACCUCCCCUGGACUCUGAGACUAAAUGCAGCUGGAGGUUUCAGGAUCCCACAUGGGGAGACAGGUAGAGGCGGUGGCUGCAGAACAUGGCCGAUCCUGGAGUCCCGGUGAGACUGGAGAAACAACUGCUGCUCUGCUGUCCUCCCCUCUCAUCAUCUGACUCAAUCCUUUGACUGACACCCAUCCACAGGGACGCCUACACAAAAUGGUCACUCUGCAGUCGACGUAUCUUCCCAGCUACUGGUGGUCAUCGGGGACGCAGCUAUGUGUGUCUCCAUUUUGCAGAUGAGGACAUGGAGGCCUCAAGAGGUUAAGUGACUUGCUCAGCCACACACAGCUGAUGGGAAUGAAACAGAUGGAAACUGAGACUCCCCAAGCUGACAGGCGGACUACAGAUCUGGGGGUUCUGCUCCAGGCUCAACACAAGUGGCCUGGGCGAGGGAGAGCCUGGUAGACCAUGACACCCAGCAUUGGGGAAUUCUGCUUCCCUAGCAGGCUCAGAGGGAAGAAGUCUGCUUCAGGGGCCAGGCCUGGUCAAAGACUCCAUCUUCCCUGGAUGGCCAGAGUCAAAUCCUUGCAAACCCCAUUCACCAUGGAGCAGAGCCGAGACCUAUGUUACCCAGGCUGGAUGUGAAUUCCUGGACUCAAGCAAUCCUCCCAUCUCAGCCUCGUGAGUAGUUGGGACAAGUCUCACACCACCAUACCCAGCUUAAUUUAAUUUGAAUUUUAAUAGCUGCAUGCUCUAGUGGUUCCUACAUUAGACUGUGCAGUUUAGACUGAAUGGGGAGGGCAGGAGGCAGGGAGUCAACCGGGUCCACCUCGCCAGCACUGCUGGAGAGAUGGGGCUGCACUGAGGGAGGACCCUCAUGGGGACAGUCACGGAGCUGGAGCAAGGGAGCAUCCCAGGCCGCCAAGCCUGAGAGAUGGCCCGUGAUGAAGGGGAGGGCCAAGGUCUUGGCUGAGAGGGGCUCAUAGAGCAUUGGUUAACUACAGGAGGGAGGAAUACAGCUCUGGGGGGCUGCCUGACACCAGGGUACAGGGGCAUUAGGCAGGUGAUUGGCAGAAGGUGACCUCGGGAGGGGAGGUGGGCUAAAGGUGGGCCUCAGGGCCCGAUACACAGAUGUACAGACACAUCCCAUGGACUGGUCCCAUGGGCACUGAGGACAGCUGUUUCCCAGCCAGGUCCCUGGAACUCCCCUCCAGGUGCCCCGGGACCUGAGAGAGAGGUGGAGUGAAGGGGGAGAGAAAACAAAGCCCAGGGACUCGCCCCCAAAAAACACAAUCAAGAAGAUGCUCCCAGCUUUUCAAUUUCAGACACUGAGUUCCUCGCAAGAUUUUGUUUGAAGGAAAGCUUCUAUAGU